GAUCAAAGCUCAUUGGCUGAUAAGGAAAAGCCCCACAGCUCUAUUGUGCCACAAAAGAGACGCCAAGACCAUUUCAAAGCCAAAUCUGGAGAAUGGAGAAGUUGGCGACAAAGUCGUCUAACAUGAGACAAAAACAUGUUUGUGUUGGGAAAUAUAAAGCAAGAUUUCAACACUUUUAGAGACUUGAAUAUUGUACAAAAAUGUUAUAUUGUUUAUUACACGUGGCAUUAAAAAAUAUGUGAAAGUAAAAA